GUUUAACAUCCUUUUUUCCUACAUGCGUUUCGCCAUUACAGUUAUUUGGAACUCAGCAUUGGAUGUUCAAAGUGCAGUUGGAUGCUUAGCUGCAAUGCAUCAUCAGGGGAACACUUUAUUGU